rnacentral:rRNA from 2 species
GCAGUCGAGCGGAUCUUUGGGAGCUUGCUCCCAAAGAUUAGCGGCGGACGGGUGAGUAACACGUGGGCAACCUGCCUAUGAGACUGGGAUAACUCCGGGAAACCGGGGCUAAUACCGGAUAAUUCUUUUCUACACAUGUAGAAAAGCUGAAAGAUGGUUUCGGCUAUCACUCAUAGAUGGGCCCGCGGCGCAUUAGCUAGUUGGUGAGGUAACGGCUCACCAAGGCGACGAUGCGUAGCCGACCUGAGAGGGUGAUCGGCCACACUGGGACUGAGACACGGCCCAGACUCCUACGGGAGGCAGCAGUAGGGAAUCUUCCGCAAUGGACGAAAGUCUGACGGAGCAACGCCGCGUGAGUGAUGAAGGUUUUCGGAUCGUAAAACUCUGUUGUUAGGGAAGAACAAGUACCGGAGUAACUGCCGGUACCUUGACGGUACCUAACCAGAAAGCCACGGCUAACUACGUGCCAGCAGCCGCGGUAAUACGUAGGUGGCAAGCGUUGUCCGGAAUUAUUGGGCGUAAAGCGCGCGCAGGUGGUCUCUUAAGUCUGAUGUGAAAGCCCCCGGCUCAACCGGGGAGGGUCAUUGGAAACUGGGAGACUUGAGUGCAGGAGAGAAGAGUGGAAUUCCACGUGUAGCGGUGAAAUGCGUAGAGAUGUGGAGGAACACCAGUGGCGAAGGCGACUCUUUGGCCUGUAACUGACACU